rnacentral:rRNA from 1 species
UGCAGUCGAGCGGAUGAAGGGAGCUUGCUCCUGGAUUCAGCGGCGGACGGGUGAGUAAUGCCUAGGAAUCUGCCUGGUAGUGGGGGAUAACGUCCGGAAACGGGCGCUAAUACCGCAUACGUCCUGAGGGAGAAAGUGGGGGAUCUUCGGACCUCACGCUAUCAGAUGAGCCUAGGUCGGAUUAGCUAGUUGGUGGGGUAACGGCCUACCAAGGCGACGAUCCGUAACUGGUCUGAGAGGAUGAUCAGUCACACUGGAACUGAGACACGGUCCAGACUCCUACGGGAGGCAGCAGUGGGGAAUAUUGGACAAUGGGCGAAAGCCUGAUCCAGCCAUGCCGCGUGUGUGAAGAAGGUCUUCGGAUUGUAAAGCACUUUAAGUUGGGAGGAAGGGCAGUAAGUUAAUACCUUGCUGUUUUGACGUUACCAACAGAAUAAGCACCGGCUAACUUCGUGCCAGCAGCCGCGGUAAUACGAAGGGUGCAAGCGUUAAUCGGAAUUACUGGGCGUAAAGCGCGCGUAGGUGGUUCAGCAAGUUGGAUGUGAAAUCCCCGGGCUCAACCUGGGAACUGCAUCCAAAACUACUGAGCUAGAGUACGGUAGAGGGUGGUGGAAUUUCCUGUGUAGCGGUGAAAUGCGUAGAUAUAGGAAGGAACACCAGUGGCGAAGGCGACCACCUGGACUGAUACUGACACUGAGGUGCGAAAGCGUGGGGGAGCAAACAGGAUUAGAUACCCUGGUAGUCCACGCCGUAAACGAUGUCGACUA